AUUGAACGCUGGCGGCAGGCCUAACACAUGCAAGUCGAGCGGAAACGAGUUAACUGACCCUUCGGGUGACAUUAACGGCGUCGAGCGGCGGACGGGUGAGUAAUGCCUGGGAAUAUGCCUUGAUGUGGGGGAUAACCAUUGGAAACGAUGGCUAAUACCGCAUAAUAGCUUCGGCUCAAAGAGGGGGACCUUCGGGCCUCUCGCGUCAAGAUUAGCCCAGGUGGGAUUAGCUAGUUGGUGAGGUAAUGGCUCACCAAGGCGACGAUCCCUAGCUGGUCUGAGAGGAUGAUCAGCCACACUGGAACUGAGACACGGUCCAGACUCCUACGGGAGGCAGCAGUGGGGAAUAUUGCACAAUGGGCGCAAGCCUGAUGCAGCCAUGCCGCGUGUGUGAAGAAGGCCUUCGGGUUGUAAAGCACUUUCAGCAGUGAGGAAGGUAGUGUAGUUAAUAGCUGCAUUGCUUGACGUUAGCUGC
rnacentral:rRNA from 1 species